rnacentral:tRNA from 1 species
AAUCUAGAAGCGAAAAAUCGCGCUAAGUUUCGGCCUUAGAUUUGAGUAUAAAACUCCUAGGUUU